UUCCGGUUGAUCCCGCCGGAGGUCAUUGCUAUCGGGGUUCGAUUUAGCCAUGCUAGUCGUGCGGGUUUAGACCCGCGGCGUAUAGCUCAGUAACACGUGGCCAAACUACCCACCAGACAGGAACAACCUCGGGAAACUGAGGCUAAGACCUGAUACGCGCCGACUGUUUGAACACGUCGGCGCCUAGACGCUCCGGCGCUGGUGGAUGUGGCUGCGGCCGAUUAGGUAGACGGUGGGGUAACGGCCCACCGUGCCGAUAAUCGGUACGGGUUGUGAGAGCAAGAGCCCGGAGACGGAAUCUGAGACAAGAUUCCGGGCCCUACGGGGCGCAGCAGGCGCGAAACCUUUACACUGCACGCCAGUGCGAUAAGGGAACCCCGAGUGAAAGGGCAUAUCGCCCUUUCUUUUCUGAACCGUAGGGAGGUUCAGGAACAAGAGCUGGGCAAGACCGGUGCCAGCCGCCGCGGUAAUACCGGCAGCUCGAGUGAUGACCGAUUUUAUUGGGCCUAAAGCGUCCGUAGCUGGCCAUGCAAGUCCAUCGGGAAAUCCACCCGCUUAACGGGUGGGCGUCCGGUGGAAACUGCACGGCUUGGGACAGGAAGGCUCGAGGGGUACGUUCGGGGUAGGAGUGAAAUCCUGUAAUCCUGAACGGACCACCGAUGGCGAAAGCACCUCGAGAGGACUGAUCCGACAGUGAGGGACGAAAGCUGGGGUCUCGAACCGGAUUAGAUACCCGGGUAGUCCCAGCUGUAAACGAUGUUCGCUAGGUGUGUCACUCACUACGAGUGAGUGAUGUGCCGCAGGGAAGCCGCUAAGCGAACCGCCUGGGAAGUACGUCUGCAAGGAUGAAACUUAAAGGAAUUGGCGGGGGAGCACUACAACCGGAGGAGCCUGCGGUUUAAUUGGACUCAACGCCGGG
rnacentral:rRNA from 1 species